UUAAGUUGUUGGGUAUUUUAUCCCAGCAACAAGAAAGUGACUAAGACAGAUCCUAUUGCUGAUGUUUAAGGUCUGCCUCUUUUUCACGUUGGUUUGUCCUGGGUUUGCAAUCCCACUCUGUCCCCGCCACCUGACAUGCUUUGUCCUGUCUUUCUUUGCCUGUCUGUGAUGCCCCCAAAGGCCCUUCUUGCCUUCUCCACCUUCCCAGAUGUAUGGUCCUUCAAAGCCCAACUCAGAUCCUGCUUUCUACACAAAACCUCUCCCAGCCGCAUCAGCUUAUUCAUCCAACCUUAAAUACUGCAUUGGCCCUUGACCAGCAAAUUCCUCCAGCUUCUGUACAAAACCGUCUGACUGCCCUCAGGCUUGUGAGAAUGUGGCAGAACGCAGCAAAUCUCCCAGGGCCACAGGUGAAUUCAGGAAGUGCAAUUUGGAUGACACCGGCAGCUGCAGAUCCUCCUGCAGGAGGCUCAGAGCCCACAGUCCCUCCAAAUGGCAAGUUGCGCUCCUCUCCGCUCCCACUCGGCGGCAUGCAGGCUGUCACCUGAAGCCUUGCCCAGCUUUGUUCCUUUCCACAGACACCCGCUGCCAGCAAGGCCCACGGGCCACAUCCAGGAUCCGGGAAAGUGAUACAAAGUGAGUGGUGGAGAAUAGGCAGCCACCCGCCGGGGGUGACUGGAGCAGGAGAAUUCCUCUGCCCUCCAAAGCAUUCUUUCCCACUGGCUGUAAAUGCCUAAAACAUCAGCGUAAGAGUGUCACUCCUUCUGCUGGAAGCAGAGCCAGGAAAUGAACGGUGUGCAGUCCGUGGCAUUGCUGCCUCCUCUAUAAAAUCCAGCAACUUUCUUGCUGUGUCCUCACUUUGCACCCCUUCCCACCAUCGCCCUACUAGAUUUCCUAUGAGAAUUUAGCCCUAUUAAAUAUGCUUCCCAUAGUUGUGAGAAAGCACUUAAAAUAACCUAGAAAAGGAAAAGAUGGGUGAUAGAUGGAAGAAACAUGGCAAGCUAUGGAUAAGUGUGGAAGCUGAUGGGGUCUGUGUGGCUUUGUUAUGCUUUUCCCUCUGCUUCUGAAGAGAGAAAUGUAUAUGUAUGUCAUUCUAUGUUUAAAAUUCCCAUGAUCAAAAUUUAAAUUAACAUAUAUGUACAUAUACAUAUAUACCCAUAGUACAUGUUCACUGUUUUUCUUCCUACCUAAUAUUACUUUAAGCAGUUAUCAGUAAGUUAAAGUAUAAUGUGAAGGCGCUUUUGCAUCUUCUUAGAGCAAAUUUCCAUAGGAAAAGAAUAGAAGGUAAGCUAAAUUUUCAGUGGGCAGAAAGCCACCAAUUUGGAGGAAGAGAGAAUCAAAUCUAGAGGGGAGGCUGGAGCUCCCCAAAACAUGGAAAGGCAGCAAAUUACUUUGCCAACUGUUGACUCUGAUGCUAUUCAAGCAGUCACACUGGGGUUGAGAUGUUUGUUGGA
rnacentral:lncRNA from 1 species